rnacentral:lncRNA from 1 species
AAAACACUAUCAUAUUUUAUCCAAAGUCGAUAUAGAAAACCAUUAACCAACCAUUUUAAUAAAAUAUCAAUGUGUGAAUUAAAUAUAUUUCGAGAAAAUUAUUAAAUCAGAAUAUUUAAAAUACUUAUUUCGCAAACAUGCUUUACUAUCAUAAUUAACCAUGAAAACAUGUUUCGUAUAUUUCACUCACAAUGACGACGCUUAGACUUGGUUAUCGUCCACACCUGCAGACCUGUUCUCGCUCGCGGAUCCUCCUAAAUCAAGGAAACGACAUAAUUAUUUUUCGUAAAUUUAAAUUAAGACUAAAUUUAUGCAAUGAACUCGAAACGAACAUCUAUCCAUAAUUUACAGCUCCUGAGCGAUAAAAUUACCAAAAUACCCUCGAGUUCGUAAAUCAUUAAAAUACUCUGAAAUCAUAAAUCAUAAAUCAUCGAAUUACCUCGGAAUCGUAAUUACAACCAAUCCUCAAUUUCAGAACUUACUAAAACCUCUACAAGGUCAGAAAUCACAAAAUUGCCCUCAAAAUAUGAAAUUACCGAAUUGCCGUCACCGGUCAAUGGUGACCGGAAUUCAGUCAACGGUGGUCGGGAAGCUCAGGUCUAAUAGUUCCAGUCCAAUGGUGCCGGCGGUGACCUCCCACACGCGACGAUGGUGCUGGAAUCUAUCUCGACAACUGUGAACCUCCAAGUGGCCGUUCGAUGACAAUCUGGCCAUUUUAGGUGAUGGGUCCGGUCGGAAAAUGAUGGGGGUGAGCUGAGGAGUGAAACCCAGCCGAUGGCAUGCUACAAAUCCGGUGAAAUUGACGACGACGGUGACAACUGGGAUAUAACGGCCAGUCUUCAAGCUUCAGAUUGGUACUGUGCUCAACCGGUGAGGUGGCUGAAAAUCGGAUAUGGCCGGGUCGUGGGUUUGGGUUGAGUUUCAGGUCAGUUUGAUGGCUUCCUCUC